UACCAUUUCUUUGAAUAAGCAUUAUCUACUACUGAACCAUUAAAAAAAAUUAAAAGAGGUUUUGAGUUUCAUUUCAUCUUCAUGCUCCUUCGUUUUUCCAUUUCUCCUUCGUGCUUCUAAGAGGAUUGAUCGAUUUCAUGCAUUGUUUCAUUCGUUUGGCUUACACUUUGUUUUUGGUUUCACUAGUUAAUUUUCGUGCUUCGUUUUGCUCUGUUCAUCUAUUGGGUUCAAAGUAGGCAAAGUGGCAAGAGUGAGUGCAAAUAAGGUUUUUGGGAUUCUUCGUUGCGCAAGAAGUAGUGCGGCAAGGGGGGAGGUUUUUUUCUCCUCCGUUUCCGGUUCGGGUUCGUUUUUGCGAGAUAGGAGAGGCAAGUUUUGGCGGUCAAGCGCGACCUUCAUCUUCGUGGCGCGGUGGGUACCACGACGGUGAUGUCUUUAUGGCGUGAGGGUUUGUGUCCUCCUCCGGUUUUAAGGUGACAAUGACAAUGGGCUUCGUGUUUCAGAUAGUGUUCGAAUUAGGGUUCAGAUAGGGUUCGAAAUUGGGGUCUGCACAUGCAUCACUAGAAUCUGAGUAUGCAAAAUCAAAAUCAUUUUUUUUACUGAAGAAGAGUUAAAUCGCUAUAAAUCCAGGUCAGAGAAAUGAACUUACUUCGUGAGAGAAACAUGCAGCUCAGGGAAGAAAAUAAACAUAAUUUGAGGAGUGUCAGAAAUUGUGUGAACUGGCACAAAAGGAUAGAGCUGAGACAGAUAACCUUGAGAAUGCCCUGAGGGAAAGAGAAAUUGAGAUUGAAGGAUGUAAGAAGGUUUUGGGGGAUUUAUGGAGAACGAGUCUAAAUCUAUGAUAAGUUUAUUUGAUGAUUUUUUGAAGACUUGGGGUAAAAAGCAUUUAGGGGUACCUAUACCACGGCUAUUUACUGUAAGGCGCCUUGAUGUUGCUACUACUGGGCUAAUUAUUGUAACUAACGAUGGUACAUGAUUUACUUUGAAAGUAGUUUUAUUUCCAUUCUAUUGUUAAAUUUUUUUUUAAACAAGAACAAUUCAUCUAAUACUAUAUGCAAUGAUGCUUGUUUAGAGGGGAUUUUGCUCAAAAGCUUUCACAUCCUUGGUAUAAUUUAUCAAAAGAGUGAGUAAAUAAGUUUGGUUAGUGAUUGUGUGUGUCUGUAAGUUUCUUGGGGGAACACACUGUGUACAGGAAGUUUGGGUCAAAUGAUUUUGAUGUUGUGUAUUUAUGUUUCA